UACAGAGGUCCCGAGCGUUGUUCGGAUUCACUGGGCGUAAAGGGUGCGUAGGUGGUGAGGUAAGUCGGAUGUGAAAUCUCCGAGCUCAACUCGGAAAUGGCAUUGGAAACUACCUUGCUUGAGGGUUGGAGGGGGGACUGGAAUACUUGGUGUAGCAGUGAAAUGCGUAGAUAUCAAGUGGAACACCAGUGGCGAAGGCGAGUCCCUGGACAACUCCUGACACUGAGGCACGAAAGCUAGGGGAGCAAACGGG
rnacentral:rRNA from 1 species